AGAGUUUGAUCCUGGCUCAGAUUGAACGCUGGCGGCAUGCUUUACACAUGCAAGUCGAACGGCAGCACAGGGAGCUUGCUCCCGGGUGGCGAGUGGCGCACGGGUGAGUAAUACAUCGGAACGUGUCUUCUAGUGGGGGAUAACUGCCCGAAAGGGCAGCUAAUACCGCAUGAGACCUGAGGGUGAAAGCGGGGGAUCGCAAGACCUCGCGCAAUUGGAGCGGCCGAUGCCCGAUUAGCUAGUUGGUGAGGUAAAGGCUCACCAAGGCGACGAUCGGUAGCUGGUCUGAGAGGACGACCAGCCACACUGGGACUGAGACACGGCCCAGACUCCUACGGGAGGCAGCAGUGGGGAAUUUUGGACAAUGGGGGCAACCCUGAUCCAGCCAUGCCGCGUGCAGGAUGAAGGCCUUCGGGUUGUAAACUGCUUUUGUCAGGGACGAAAAGGACCGUGUUAAUACCAUGGUCUGCUGACGGUACCUGAAGAAUAAGCACCGGCUAACUACGUGCCAGCAGCCGCGGUAAUACGUAGGGUGCAAGCGUUAUCCGGAAUUAUUGGGCGUAAAGGGCUCGUAGGCGGUUCGUCGCGUCCGGUGUGAAAGUCCAUCGCUUAACGGUGGAUCCGCGCCGGGUACGGGCGGGCUUGAGUGCGGUAGGGGAGACUGGAAUUCCCGGUGUAACGGUGGAAUGUGUAGAUAUCGGGAAGAACACCAAUGGCGAAGGCAGGUCUCUGGGCCGUCACUGACGCUGAGGAGCGAAAGCGUGGGGAGCGAACAGGAUUAGAUACCCUGGUAGUCCACGCCGUAAACGGUGGAUGCUGGAUGUGGGGACCAUUCCACGGUCUCCGUGUCGGAGCCAACGCGUUAAGCAUCCCGCCUGGGGAGUACGGCCGCAAGGCUAAAACUCAAAGAAAUUGACGGGGGCCCGCACAAGCGGCGGAGCAUGCGGAUUAAUUCGAUGCAACGCGAAGAACCUUACCUGGGCUUGAAAUAUACCGGACAGUCUGUGAAAGCAGAUCUCCCUUCGGGGCUGGUAUACAGGUGCUGCAUGGCUGUCGUCAGCUCGUGCCGUGAGGUGUUCGGUUAAGUCCGGCAACGAGCGCAACCCGUGUCAUUAGUUGCCAACAGGUAAAGCUGGGGACUCUAAUGAGACUGCCUGUGUUAAGCAGGAGGAAGGCGCGGAUGAUGUCAAGUCAGUAUGGCCCUUACGCCCAGGGCUGCACACGUGCUACAAUGGCCGGCACAAUGAGAAGCGAAGUCGCGAGGCGGAGCAAAUCUACAAAACCGGUCUUAGUUCAGAUUGCAGUCUGCAACUCGACUGCAUGAAGUUGGAAUCGCUAGUAAAUGCGUAUCAGCUACGACGCAUUGAAUACGUUCCCGGGCCUUGUACACACCGCCCGUCACAUCAUGGGAGUUGAUUGCACCCGAAAUCGUUGAUCCAACCUGCAAAGGAGGAAGGCGCCUAAGGUGUGGUCGAUGACUGGGAUGAAGUCGUAACAAGGUAGCCGUAGGGGAACCUGCGGCUG
rnacentral:rRNA from 1 species